rnacentral:rRNA from 1 species
AAGCGCUUGCAACCAGACUUGCACGCAGUUGAUCAUCCGGUGUUCUCACCGGGGCACUCUGCUGCGUUCAGGCCAGCAUCGUUUUUGGUGGUUGGAUAAAGGCCUUGGGAAUGUAGCUUCUUUCGGGGAGUGUUAUAGCUCUGGGUCGCA